rnacentral:rRNA from 1 species
UCGAAACCUGCAAAGCAGAACGACCCGCGAACUCGUUUACCAACCCCCGAGGGGCGGGGCCUGCCCCGUCCCCCUCGGGGCCGGAACGCGCCUCACGGCGCGCKACGGCAAGAACCCAAACACCGGCGCGGGUUGCGCCAAGGACYACGAAAUUCUACCGCGUCCCGCGGCCCCGGGCGACCGGACGUCGCGGCGAAUGCGCGUCGAAAGAUCUAACAGAACGACUCUCGGCAACGGAUAUCUCGGCUCUCGCAUCGAUGAAGAACGUAGCGAAAUGCGAUACUUGGUGUGAAUUGCAGAAUCCCGUGAACCAUCGAGUCUUUGAACGCAAGUUGCGCCCGAAGCCAUCCGGCCGAGGGCACGUCUGCCUGGGCGUCACGCAUCGCGUCGCCCCCUCCCCCUCCAUCGCGGAGCGGGGGAGGGGCGGAGUAUGGCCCCCCGUGCGCCCCCGCGCGCGGCCGGCCUAAACACGGAGCCCGUGGGCGCGAGCGCCGCGACGUUUGGUGGUUGAAUCUCGAGCAUCGCGUCGCGCGCAGUAGCGUACUCGGAGAAGCUCGGAGGACCCUUAGGCGCAGCUGCCUACCCUUGCGACCCC